AUUUCCAUUCUUUCUCUCCCAGAGAAUCUGCCCUUCUUUUAUGGUUAUAUUCAAUCGGGGCGAUGGGUUGACAGAUUCCGAGGAGUUCACAGGCAAUACAGUCCUUUUUUCUUUUAAUUUUUUUCUCAAGGCAGUAAUGGCAGUACACAUGACACCGGAGUCUGGUGUAUUGCCAAUCAAGACGUCCUUGUACUUUUAAAUGCUGAAGUGCGUACUGCAGCUGUACUCCAAAAUUCGUGGCUUUAGGAUGCCGAUAUAUACCAACCUUCUUGCUCUAUCUCUUCUCAACCAAAAACUACUUGGGCCUGGCCACAGAGAACGGUCUCUAUGGACUUUGAACGUGACCACCUUGAUAAUUUCGCAGUGUUGCUGGUCGUUGUGGGUUCCUCUUCAUAACCAUUCCACGUUUCGAGUUUUCGCAUUCCCCUGACCGAAAGAAAUCACCAAAUUUUUUUUAGCUUGUCAGAGCUUGCUGGCCCCAGUGGCGAAUGCCUUACUGUACUGUAUAUUAAUUGUAUAUUUGUGGCCCCCAACCGCUUCCCUUCUUCGUCUAUCGGAAAAAUCUUUUAGUUUU